CUCACAAAGGUGCUGCUGGGGAAGAAAAUGGAGACAAUAUGACACAGGAGAAUUACAGACCAGUGAGGUCUAGGGCCUGUAGCAGGAGGGGAAACCAGGUGGGCUGGAAAUACAACAGCUGCUACUGAUGAUCCCAGCCACCAGACUCAGUUAAGGAGAGACUGUCCCUGCAGCCCCAAGGUCUGCUCAGGCUUCACAUGUGGCCAAAACAAAUGCCCUCAGCAGAAGGAGGAUGAGGCAGACCAAGCAGGAACCAGCAUGAUGAGAAAAGAACUAAGAUCCAGCAGCUGGGGUUCAAGAGCUUGGAUAUAACUGGCAGAGGCUUGGCACAGACAGGACUCAACAGAUGAGCAUGUAGAGUUGUAUUUCUAUCCCUGUGUUGGGGUAGAGACUUGUGAAGAAUCCCGGUCAAUGAAUUGGGAGCAGCAUUGAUUCUGGGUGGAUUUAAUAACCAAUACAAGACCCUUUAUCACUCACUUGUCCCUUUGGCACUCUGACCAGCAACUUCUGAGAAGGUGACCAAGGUUACCCAAUGGGUGACCAAGGUGACCAGGCUAGCAAAAUUACUGCAUUGAGUAGAAUUUCUUUCCAAAUUGAGAUGAACAUGCUGCAUGAGCAAGAAACAAGUUUCUGCUGUAUCAAGACUUUGAAAUUUGGGGACUGCUGUUACUGUAAUGUAACAUCUUCUAUCCUGACUGAUACAUACAAGAUUCAUGCUUCCCCUGAAUUCCAGAUGAAGUGACCAAUACUGGGUGUGCUGUGCUAUUGAGAACUUCUUCAGCUGUGCUUCUUGUGAACAAGUAGGAACCAAACCACCAUGGGAAAUUGGAAAAAGAGGGCCUAAAGUUCUGAUUCCCAAUGCCAAUAACUGCUAAAUACACCUGACAAUUUAAGUUUAAAAUUGAUUACAAUUUUAAAAAAUAAAAAUUCCCCUUCUACUUUACACUAAUCACUAUUCAGUUCUCAGUGGUCACAUGAAGUUAGUACUUUUCAUGCUACCAUAUUGGACACCAGUAAUGUGGAAAAUUUCCAUUGCUGCAGAAAAGUUCUCUUGGAGAGCACUGGUCUAGCAUCUUAGAAACUGAACCAAGAAACCCUGUGCCAAGGAACAAUAGACUCUUAGAAAGAAAGGAUACAUCAUCUUCAGAUGCUGGCAUCUUUGCUGUAUGGACCCCCAAGAUCUUCUUGGCCAUGAAAUGGAACAGUGCAACAAACAGCGCUUCUCCUAUCAGCUUGAAGGGACAAAUACCACUGUCAAACCAAGGUCACCUACAGGAGGGACUUGGGCAUCACAGGAAAAUCCAAACCUGGAUAAAGAGGGAAGCAAGUAACCAAGUAUCUCACCUUUGGGUCCACCAGGGCCAACAUAUGUGGCCAUCCAAGAUCAUAGUGCUUAGAGCUGGUCAGGAUGCCUUACACAAGCUUUGGAUGAGCAAUUCAGGAGGAAGAGAAGUUUCUCACACAAGUGGAACAUGAAUGAGGGCAAGGGCAAGUUCAUUAAAAGAGGUGCCUGCAGCUACCCAAUCACUAGUGGCCUCAAGAGAAUCACUCCACUACCGUGCACCUCAAUUGCCUCAUCUAUAAAAUGGCAAGAAUAGCUUAUAUUUAUAGAACUUUUAUUC